rnacentral:rRNA from 1 species
UACGAAGGGGGCUAGCGUUGUUCGGAAUCACUGGGAGUAAAGGGCGCGUAGGCGGCUUUGUAAGUCGGGGGUGAAAGCCUGUGGCUCAACCACAGAAUUGCCUUCGAUACUGCAUGGCUUGAGACCGGAAGAGGUAAGUGGAACUGCGAGUGUAGAGGUGAAAUUCGUAGAUAUUCGCAAGAACACCAGUGGCGAAGGCGGCUUACUGGUCCGGUUCUGACGCUGAGGCGCGAAAGCGUGGGGAGCAAACAGG